AUGGCCUUGUUUGCCCGACUCUGCAGACUUUUUCAGAGAGCCAAUGUGGAUGGGAGAGAGACCAGAGAGGGGAGGAAGGAUGCUGACCUUCCAUCUGAGAGUAAUGAAGGACGAAGGAGGUGGACUUGGCGAAUGUGGAUGGCUCACAGACAGACAACAUCCCCUGUUCCUGUCACAAGCAAAAAGCAGUUUGAGAAGGAAGAGAAGGAGCUGAUCAAAAAGAUCCAGCUCACUACCAAGGAGAUAAAUGAGCUGAGAGAUCGCCUGAUCUACGUGACCAAGGGAUCCAUGAACAAGAGGCCCUACCACAGGCAAACUCGACAUUAUAAAGAACUGAAAUUAAAGGAGAAGGAGAUAAUGACAUAUCUACACGACUUAGAGAUGAAGAACAUGGAGGCCCGAGAGAACAAU
rnacentral:lncRNA from 1 species